GGUAAUGUAGCUCAGUUGGUAGAGCACAGCACUGAAAAUGCUGGUGUCGUUGGUUCGAUUCCAACCAUUACCACGA
rnacentral:tRNA from 2 species